rnacentral:rRNA from 1 species
UACGUAGGUCGCAAGCGUUGUCCGGAUUUACUGGGCGUAAAGAGCGCGUAGGCGGCUGGCCAAGUCCGAUGUGAAAUCUCCCGGCUUAACCGGGAAACUGCAUCGGAAACUGGUCGGCUUGAAGGUGGGAGAGGGUAGCGGAAUUCCCGGUGUAGUGGUGAAAUGCGUAGAUAUCGGGAGGAACACCAGUGGCGAAGGCGGCUACCUGGCCCGUUCUUGACGCUGAGGCGCGAAAGCGUGGGGAGCGAACGGG